AUUGAACGCUGGCGGCAGGCCUAACACAUGCAAGUCGAACGAGUGGCGGACGGGUGAGUAAUGUCUGGGAAACUGCCUGAUGGAGGGGGAUAACUACUGGGAACGGUAGCUAAUACAGAAUACCAUCAGAUGUGCCCAGAUGGGCUUAGCUUGUUGGUGGGGGAACGGCGCACCAGGGCGACGAUGCAUAGCUGGUCUGAGAGGAUGACCAGACACACUGGAACGGAGACACGGUCCAGACUCCUACGGGAGGCAGCAGUGGGGAAUAUUGCGCAGUGGGCGAAAGCCUGACGCAGCCAUGCCGCGUGUAGGAAGAAGGCUUUCGGGUUGUAAAGUACUUUCAGUGGGGAGGCGUUACCCGCAUAAGAAGCACCGGCUAACUCCGUGCCAGCAGCCGCGGUAAUAC
rnacentral:rRNA from 1 species